AUGACCACCAAAUUGUUCCUCUACUUCUUACUUCUGUCAGUGUUUCGAGCAUGUUCUCCAACAUUUGCUUCUGAUGAUGAUGAGUAUGACGACGUUACUGUGAAUCAAAUGUUGGCCCCCAAAACCCACGAGACAGAUGCAACGCAAAUACUAAACAACUUAUUAAAGGAGUAUGACAAAAAACUGCGCCCGGAUAUUGGAGUUAAACCGACAGUCAUUGAUGUCGACAUCUACGUAAAUAGCAUUGGACCAGUGUCAUCUAUAAAUAUGGAAUACCAGAUUGACAUCAUUUUUGCGCAGACAUGGACAGAUAGCCGGCUCAGAUAUAACAGCACUAUGAAAAUAUUGACUUUAAACAGUAACAUGGUUGGACUCAUUUGGUUACCGGAUACCAUCUUCAGAAAUUCUAAGAGUGCAGAUUCACAUUGGAUUACUACGCCAAAUCAGCUGCUCAGAAUAUGGAAUGAUGGGAAAAUACUUUACACUUUGAGAUUGACUAUUAAUGCAGAGUGCCAGCUUCAGCUUCAUAACUUUCCCAUGGAUGAACACUCCUGCCCCCUCAUCUUUUCCAGCUAUGGAUACCCACGAGAUGAAAUGAUUUACAAGUGGAGGAGGAACUCGGUGCAGGCGGCCGAUCAGAAGUCGUGGAGGCUUUACCAGUUUGACUUCAUGGGCCUGAGGAACACCACUGAUGUUAUCAAGACGACCGCAGGUGACUAUGUGGUGAUGACUGUAUAUUUUGACCUUAGUAGAAGAAUGGGAUACUUCACAAUUCAGACCUAUAUCCCUUGCAUAUUGACUGUGGUUCUUUCCUGGGUCUCCUUCUGGAUAAAAAAGGAUGCAACACCAGCUAGAACAGCACUAGUUUCCUGCUUUAAGUCCAUGUCCUGUCCUGGUAAAUGUCACUGUUGUCAAGGAAUAACAACGGUAUUAACCAUGACUACUCUCAGCACGGUGGCUCGGACAUCGCUGCCCAGGGUCUCAUAUGUCACAGCGAUGGACCUGUUCGUCACUGUCUGCUUCUUGUUUGUUUUCGCGGCUCUCAUGGAGUAUGCCACACUCAAUUAUUACUCCUACAGCGCCCGCAGACCAACCUGCAACAAGACCAAACGAUCGAACUACUCGGUACUGGACGUGGGUCCUCCUCCCACUGUUAUCACUCUCAACAACUCCAUGUACUGGCAGGAGUUUGACGAUGCCUGCGUUUAUGAGUGCCUGGACGGAAAAGACUGCCAGAGUUUCUUCUGCUGCUACGAGGAGUGCAAAGAUGGAGCGUGGCGAAAGGGCCGUGUGCAUAUAGACAUCCUGGAACUCGAUGCAUACUCUCGUGUCUUCUUUCCCACCUCUUUCCUAUUGUUCAAUGUUGUCUACUGGGUAGGCUACUUGUAUCUUUAG
ensembl:processed_transcript